ACAUCAUUUUUUCAGCCCAUAUCUUCAGAAAACAUCAGACGCACUGUCUCUUCUGAGUGACCAAAGCAGCAUCUCUUCUCCAUUUAAAAAAUGACCUUGUGGAAACGGGGAUGCUCCCCUGAAUUUUGUUGUCCAGCUUUGUCUGAAGCCCUCUUCUAGUCCCUUCUCCAAGAACAAGACAAGGUGGCUGAGGAUGGAGGAGCACCUCCAGUCCUGGCACGGGAGCAGGAGUGUGCCUGGUCCAGAUGCUGGGCAGACCUGGAUGCUGGGCUGAUGACAUUAAUGGGCUGAGGAACUGAAACUACUGCCCUGGAGAGGAAGCAAGAUCAUGUCUGCUGCUCCCUUCACACUCUUGGCUUUGUUUGCUUUGCAUGGCUGGUUUCUGCUUGGAUAAAAAAAAAAUAAGUCUCCUGGCCCUUCGAGAUGAGGAAACUCUCGAUGUCAAAAGGAGGUUGUGAGGGGUUCAAGAUGUGUCCUUCCCCUGGGAAAGGGAAAAGAUGCUCCCAUGGGACCUGAUAUAUCCGGGACGCAUGAAGCCCUAUGUCUGCUAAUACUUAAACAAACAUUAAUUAAAACAUCUUAAUUAGGAUGUUUUGAGAACUGUGCAUUGGUCUGUCAUGCCCUUUGUGAAAUAUUAAACACCCCUGCCCUUCCAGUGGAGUCCUUCUCCCCAGGUCUUCCUGCAAAUGGGGUUUGACACCCCUGACUAUUUUGGAAUUAAACAAACUUCUGCAAAAAUCUUAAUGUGAUCUUUGAUGUUACAGUCAAAGGAGCACAUGCCAGAAAAUGUUUUGCUCUCUCCACUUCAUCAUCUAGCUGUGUUUGUUGAUAUUUUCCCAUCAGGCCCGACAACAAACAGCUGAUUAACUCAUUAGCCGAGAGCAUCAAAGCACAUGGCGAGAGCAUGAAAUCUCCUGCUGUGUCCUCCAGUUACUCCUCACAGCUCGGUGGUUUCUGCAGGGCCUGUCUGGGUGUGAUCUCUCUGUCCUGCACAACUGCCCGUCUCGAGGACUUGUGGGCAGAAAUGUGCCCACUCUUUCUUCACCCAACUUUUCCAUGUUUAUGGCUGUGCCGCUGCCAGGAGCUCCUCGAGGCAACACGAUGUGGAGGGUCUCCUGUGGAGGAUUUCAGCCCUGUGAUCACCUGCAGAUACCCAUCAGCUACAUUACCCUUCACACGGAGUAUUAAAAGAAUAUCUUUAUUUGGAAGAGAAGAGGAAUCUAGAGAGUGACCUUAAUGU
rnacentral:lncRNA from 1 species